UGACGUCGAAAUGUUCUCGUCGGCGGCAGCCGAAGUGCGAUCAACAUUACACCGGCACGACGUUGGACGGCCGCCGUCGACGUCAGUAUCGGUCGCGUGCGCCGCCAGCGGGGCCGCAUAAAAGCUGCCGCCCGUCCUCUCAGCAGCAGUCGUCUCACGCAUUCGGAUCAACAUGAAGCUUCUCCUGGUACUUUUAGUCGCAGCGGUGGCGUUUGCGGUGGCAGCCGCCAUGCCUCACGGAGGAGGUGGUGGACUGUUGUACCCGGGCGGUAUCUACCCUGGAGGCAUCUACCCGGGCGGUAUCUACCCUGGAGGGAUCUACCCUGGUGGCAUCCCCGGCGGAAUCUACCCCGGCUUCUUCCCGGGAUAGGCAUCUGAUGCUGAUUUGAUUCGUCGAUGGGUUUUCUUGACGACACCUUACUAACAGUGUAGCCUCUGGUUUCAUAAAAAUAAAAUGCAGUAACACUUAA